CCGGGGCAGGGCGGCUCCGCGGUAAAAACAGGCGGCGGGCUGGCUGGAAGCAAGCGCCAGCGACUUCCCCGCGGGCUCUCGGAGGAGCACUCGCUUUUUCUUUUUUCUUUAUUAUUAUUUUUUAAAGGUUUUGAAGCGUUUUCAGAUUUUUUUUUUAUCUUUUUCUCUUUUUUGUUGCUUCAGGCUACUGAGCCCAAAAGCGGCUGUGCGGAGAGAACGAAUAAACUCUUCAUUAGGACCGCGCAUUGCUUUAUGGCACACGCCGGACACUGAGCUAGCCUCUCAGCUGCAAGUGCUUUCUCUCUGCAUGGCCUCCUCUACUAACUUCUUUAACGCUGCCUUCCAACGACACAGGAGCGUUUAAUCUUUAUGACUCCAAAUCUAUCGAUUAUCCCUUUAAUGGAUUUUGUGGGUUAAAAAGACCUUCUCAAUGCUACAAUUUAAAAAGCCUCUCAGUACAUUUUCUUUUAACACUUCUGUAGCUUUUAAUGUUUAAAUAUUUAAUGUAUUUUAAAACUUUUUGAGUUGUGAACAGUAAUUUUAUUUUCUCUCCAGUGGAUAACCAAUUGUCCCAGCAAAUUCACUGAGUAAUCCAUAUUUUCUUAACCUGAACAUGCCACCCAAGUGACAGCAUCUGCCCACAAAUGACGGAUCACCUGCAGCAUCAAGUGUUUCUCCAGGUUCACCACAGCCCUCUGCUCGGAUCUCCCUUAAACUCUUGAUGGAGCCAUCCUGUGAAUUUAUUCUUGUAGGGUAACUGUAUUAUCUCCUAAUGAACGCCCUCUUUCCACCUUCACUGUGGCUCCACAUAGGAAAGGAUUCUGCUGGGAAUCACACGGCCUGCACACAGACACACACACACGUACGUACACACACCCGUCGCAGAAAUGCCUACAGACAAUCUUAAGGCCCAAUGAACUUCUUCUAAAUCUUGUUCAGUUGGGUUAGCCCAUCUGCAGACAUCACUGAAACAGUGGGCGAAAGGAAAUAACCACACAAUGCAGAUAAGUGCUUCUAUUUUCCCAGAUCAUUGCUAAGGUCCUCACUCCCAGCAGCUCCUACAUUGACGUUUUUAAACACAUAAAUAUGUAUUCAAAAGCACCAUUAAAAUGAGUCAUUACAUUCUCAAUAGGAAGUUUACAAUAGGUGUGUUAGAAUAAUCACUAUUGUGCUUUAAAUUCUUUUUUCCUACACUCGAAGGCUGAACAUCAUAAUUUUGAUCUGAUUUCACAACCCUGUUUAAAAACUUAGCUCCUGCUGACUUCUGAUUGCUAAUCUGUUGUCCCAUCUUUAUCACAGCUCCUCGGCACACCAAAUGCAAAGAUGUGCAGUCGAUUUACUUCCAUCUGUUCCUACUUGAGUCGUUUAUAGUGCGUUACUCUGUGAUUACAGAUUUAAUUGCAGACCCAGGAGCAUCACAUUAUCAACAACAGAAACCCUCUGCACACCCCCUUCUCCACCAUCAACCCUGCACCAGGCUGCUCCUGCCGAAGGUGUGACCCUCCUCACUCCUUCAUUUCUCUUGGGAUCCUGAGAAACCGGGGCCAGAGAUGUCACCUGCAUAUCCCAGCAGGCAGAGGCCCAGGGGCCCCCAACAACACACAUGCAGGAGCAAGUGCGCGCGUGCGUCCACUCAGCCCUGUUUCCCUGGAGAAGAGUGACUCGUAUGGAUUUCAGUGACUCUCUGGAGGCACCACCACCCACGACUCUUCAGGACCCUCACAUCAACUACACCUAGGCUGGUGGCCAGAAAUGGAAAAGCCAACCCAAACUUGCUCAAUCUUAAGUGAUUUAAGGGUUCAUGUGACUGUGAGGCCCAGCAUCCCCAGUCUGUUUAUUUCCACCUCUUCCCCUGGACACGGGUUGCAUCCAAAAGCUGAUCACACCUCACAGUGGGAGGACGUUCUGGUUGGAUCCCAGAGAUGUCUUGUUCUCAUCAAGAAACAACAAGAGUGAAACCACAUUUCCAGAGCUGUGGUGGAGGAGGGAAGAGACCUCUCAGAGCCAGAGUCCCGUGGGGCUCAAAGGUUUGGACCAGGUGGUAUCCCCCACCUCGGAGGAUACAGCCUGCUUGCUCCGGGACCGAGGCCCCACAGAGGUAGAGGAGGCAGCUGUGGAAAAUCUAGCAGAAAUCAGGGACGUUACCAGUCACCUUGCAUUACCAAGGAAGUAAGGGAACAUCUGGGAGGUGACCACAUUAUAGGGCCUCUACUUGGAAUCUCCAAAAACUCUUAUGUGUCCCACAGAUGUUACAGCCAGAGACCCAUCUGAGUUACCCUGACACCAGUACUGACAAGAGCAGCUCGUCUUUCACAGUCAAACACAUGUCCCUUAGUCACAUAACUGCAUCACCCAAGACGGAGCCUGGCACCUGUCAGCACAGUGGGAAGCCAACACACAAUAUGAGGAAAUCGAUUCACAAAUCACUGGAAACUACUUUUCUUCCUCCUCUGUCCUCAGUUUUAAAAACCAUUAAUAAACAAAUUGAAUAAGAAAACUCAGUUAUGUUUCCUUAUAGUUGAUUAUCCUGUUGAAAAUAGCAAUACAAUUUAGUAAACAAAGUUUAAGAAGAUAUGCUCCAGUGUGUGUCACAAAUAAGGGUUACAGAGAAACAGUUUACCAUGCAGUGAAGUUCAUUUAUAGAAUGUGCUUCAAAAACAAUAGGUGGCAAAGAGCUAUAUGCAAAAUCCAAUUAUCAGAGUAUUAGACAUUUACAACUUUGCAUCACAAUUGUUUUGUAAUCAUC